rnacentral:rRNA from 1 species
GUGGACGCAUCACUGGUGUUCGGGUUGUCAUGCCAAUGGCACUGCCCGGUAGCUAAAUGCGGAAGAGAUAAGUGCUGAAAGCAUCUAAGCACGAAACUUGCCCCGAGAUGAGUUCUCCCUGACYCYUURAGRGUCCUGAAGGAACGUUGAAGACGACGACGUUGAUAGGCCGGGUGUGUAAGCGCAGCGAUGCGUUGAGCUAACCGGUACUAAUGAACCGUGAGGCUUAACCUUACAACGCCGAAG